CGGCUCCGGGUUCGCUUCCCCGGUUGUCACAAGCAGUGUGACUUCUGCUCGCUGCGGCUGCACAGUGACAGCUCACACAGGCGCUCUCGUUUCUCGGAUUGAACUCGGAUUUUAGCCUAUUUGGAUUUCUCUAUGUUGGUAGCAGUCACGGACUUCAAACACUUUAUUGCUCACACCGUACUGAACCCUGCCUCCUCUGACACCGUGACUCCAGACAGACACACUGGCUGACAGACACUGAAAGAGAAGUGGGCAGAUAAAGCGAUUGGAGGACAGAGGGAGAAGAAGAACCUCUCGUAGAGUGGUGGCCAGAAGGACAGGGGAGCCCAUGAGGAGCGGAAACGGCGUGACGGCAACAUCCUGACCGGUAAUCUUGCUUCUGCACCCCCACCACCUGCCCAGCAACUCCACGAGCAGGGCGUCAGAAGGAAGGAAACGAGCGACCACUCCUCCUGCAGGCAUGAGGUCCUUCCGUUCCUUCAGUAACGAUGACCGCCAUGUCAUGGCGAAACACUCCACUAUCUACCCCUCCUCACAAGAGCUGGAAGCCGUUCAGACGCUGGUGUCCACCGUCGAGUGCGCCCUCAAACACGUCUCUGAUUGGAUGGAUCACUCCAACAGCGAAGCCCACAGCCAGGUGAACAGCCAACCAGCAGACAGCACAGAGGAGGACAAUCCGGGUGACAAGCCCAGCGAAGAAACGGAGGAUUCCAGUGAUGACUACAGAGAGCCCAGCAGUAGUGCCGUGCUGUGUGGAGUAAUGAGGAUCGGCCUGGUGGCCAAAGGCCUCCUGAUCAAAGGCGACAUGGACCUGGAGCUGGUGCUGAUGUGCAGAGACAAACCCACACAGACACUGCUGGACACUGUCUGUCAAAAUUUACCCACACAGAUAGAGAAGCUGACAGAAGAGAAAUACGAGGUCACGAGCUCCUUGCCUGAGGCGGCCAUAUUGGUACAAACUACAACAGAGCCCAAACUCACACUGACCAUCACCCUCACCUCGCCCACCAUGAGGGAUGACGAGGAGGAGGAAGAGGAAGAGGAAGAGUUGGAGAAUGGGGAGGAAGGCCAGGAAGAGGAAGAGGCGGAGGAGGAGAAGGAGGACGUGGAGGAUGAAAAGGAGGAGAUGGAGGAAGAGGAGGAGGAGGAGGAGAAGAAGAACGGGCGAGUGUUGGGUGCUGCUGCGCAGAGAGUGGAGGCUGAGGAGGAGGAGGGGGAGGUGCUGGAUAGACACAGAUGUCUGUUGGCCCUGGCAGCGCUGCGACACGCCAAGUGGUUCCAGGCUCGAGUGAACGGGCUCAAAUCCUGCGUUAUCGUUCUCAGGAUACUAAGAGACAUGUGCAAUAGACACUCCAUCUGGGAACCUCUCAAGGGAUGGCCCUUAGAGCUUAUCUGCGAGAAGGCAAUUGCCACCUGCAACAGGCCUCUUGGGGCUGGAGAAGCCCUGCGUCGAGUCAUGGAGUGUCUGGCCUCAGGCAUUCUGCUACCAGGUGGUCCAGGUUUACACGACCCAUGUGAGAAAGACCCAACAAACACACUAACCAACAUGACAGACCAGCAGGCUGAAGCCAUUACCUACCGUGCACAGCAUGCCCUCAGACUCAUGGCAUUUGGACAGAUCUACAAGGUGUUGGAGAUGGAUCCUCUUCCCUCAAAUAAACCAUCACAUAAAUACCCGUGGUCAGACAAAGAAGGCUUAGGUCUGAAAAGGCCAUUUGAGGAUGGAGCGAUGGAUGACAAGGACCUCAUCAAGAAGAUGAAGAGGAAUCUAAGAAAAGUCCUGGACAGUAAAGCCAUAGACUCCAACCAGCCUAUGAACGCCCUGAUGCGGUUGAACCAGAUCCGGCCGGGGCUGCAGUACCGCCUGCUGUCCCAGUCGGGCCCGGUUCACGCUCCAGUCUUCACCAUGUCUGUGGACCUCGAUGGAACCAUUUACGAAGCAUCUGGAUCCUCCAAAAAGACAGCCAAGCUCCACGUCGCCGUCAAGGUUCUCCAGGCGAUGGGCUAUCCGACAGGUUUCGACUCAGACCUUGACCCCAUGAGUUCAGACGAGAAGUCGGAUGGGGAGGGGAAGAGUGAGACGUCAUCGCACACUAGCAAUAACCCAACACACGCCUCGGACAAUUCCAACACACUGGAGGUGCGAACUCAGGGUCCAAUACUAACGGCGAGUGGGAAAAACCCUGUCAUGGAGCUAAACGAAAAGAGACGAGGCCUCAAAUACGAACUCAUCUCUGAAAGUGGAGGCAGUCACGACAAACGCUUUGUUAUGGAGGUGGAUGUUGAUGGACAGAAGUUUCGUGGGGCAGGCCCCAAUAAAAAAGUAGCAAAGGCCAGUGCUGCUCUAGCUGCUCUGGAAAAACUCUUCUCUGGUCCGAAUGCAGCUGCAAAUAAGAAAAAGAAGAUAUUGCCUCAGACAAAAGGAGUCCUGGCAGCAGCGGCAGCCGCCUCAGCGGUAGCAGCUCAGGUAGCCAGAGGAAGAGGAAGAGCAGCCCUCGCGAGAGGAGCCUUCGUCAGCACCGCCGCACCAGGAUAUGUCACUCCAGGUAGUGAGAUCUUAUGCUUUGGAACACCGUAUGGCUACAGUCCUGCUGCUGCAGCUGCUCCUGCCUACGGUUUGCCAAAGAGAAUGCUUCUGUUGCCUGUCAUGAAAAUGCCCACCUACCCCGUCCCCUACUACCACUUCUUUUAGCUCAGGAGACACACACCAAACGCUUUGUCAUACAUACCAAAUGCUUCAUCCAAACCGCACAACCUGUUUUUUACUAGAAGGGAAACUUUUUUCUACAAAAUCAAUGAUGGGAGAAGACCUGAGCUAAAUGUUUGGGAAAGCAUUUUUUUUUCUUUUCCUACUGUUUCCUGAAACGUUUAUGAAUAUGGAAAAGAAUGCAGGUUUGAGUUCUCAAGAGAUAAACAAAAACUUGAAGGAUUUUACUGUGAAUUGUGACCUCAUACGUUGAGUCUAAAUUGUCUAUUUUAGCCUUGUGUUUAUUCUUUGCAAGGGAGAGGAUAGCUUCUGCAAUAUGAUACACUCAACACAUAUUCUCUAUAAAAAGUGAAUAAUAAUAAUAAGCCUUGUGAAGGAUGUAUAGGUAUAAAUAAAUAAUGUUGAAAAAGAAUAAAGUUUAUUUCCUGUACGAAGCUGAACACUGUCUGAUAUCUUUUACAGUACAAAGGGCUUCGAUGCACUUUGGGAUAGAUUUAGACUUUUUGGGAUUAUGUUUCCAGGUGCGAUGUGAAACGAUUUACUUACUCUUUCAACCUGCCUACAAAACUGUGUCCUAAACUUGCAUCAAUCUUUAAUAUUCCACUCUCAUACCGCUCAAGGAUUGAAUUUCAAUCUUUGCGUGUAGCUCAGGGCGUCUCGUUACAUCCUUUUGACCCUCAGUUUAUAGAUAUUCAGAGGGAAAGGCGAGAAGACAACGAUUGAAUUCAGAAAGCUUUUGUCGGAUCCUGCAUCAUGCAUUCAUCUGCACGAUCCCAUUACCUUACGUGGAUUAAUAUUUGGCGGAUUCCCCACAGCUAUCGGGAGUUAUCAACUGGAGUGAAUGCAGAGCUCCUAAAGGUUGAUAUCUGCAGCCGUUUUUCAGCAGCAUUCUGGGAACUCAUUGUUGGAAAGACAACAUAUUUUAUUUACAAAGACUAAAUCUAUAUCACUAUAUUGUCCUGUUUGCUCGAUAUCAGACGUCAUUGUUGGUAAUGCAUGCCAACCAUAAACAUAACCUUUGGGACCAACAUGAAUUCAUAUCUUCGCAGUGUGCUUUAUGUUGUUCCAUUAUAUCACAGCCAUUGUUGGAUUGGUUGUUUUUGCACGUCUAUGCUUUACCUUUAAGUAAAGAUUAGUACCAACUGAGCUACUGAAACAAUUCAAAUUUUUAAGAAAUAGUAGUAAAUAAAAAAGUAAAACUUCACUUAAAACAGAAUAAAACAUAAGCUAAUCAAAGGUCAGCAUCAGUCAGGACAGAGUUUUGGUGGCACUUCACCUGCCUGAGUCAUCUAACCAUCAAGAUAUAACCACCUGACGACGUCUCCAUGGUUACAGAUAUGAGGCGCAGCCAUUGGAUGAGAGGACCCAGUAUCUUAUCCAAUGGUGGUCUUUUCAUUGACAAUCCCUUCUACCAGCCGCGGACCCUCGCUCCUUUUAUCAUUCAUCUGGGUCCUCAGGAUCUCUUCUCUGACUUCUAGUGGCAGAAGGUUGUUGGAAACUCUCUUCACACUUACCUGUCUGUACAUGCAGGACGCCUAUUUUUCUGUCCUUCUCUAAGCGGGCUGCCUUUUGAUGCAGGUGAUUGGACUCACAGAUCUAAAACUGUUUCUGUUUGAUCAGUCCGCCGGAAAAAAAAACGUUCUGUCAGCAGUGGAGUAAAAAUCUCACCUACUGACCGAGAGGCUCAACGCUCCACUUUCUGUAUUCUCUAUUCUCCAACCAGAUUAUCACUUCAGAGGAGAGAAACUUUAAACAAAGCAAUACUCGGAUUGUACGAGGAACGUUCAGCUGUGACAGUGCGAGGCUGGACUGAACUUCUUUCUUAUAGCAAUACACCAGAACUCCUCUCUCCAAGCUUACUGAGUUGAGAAGAUGUGAAUGUCCGAUGGAGUUUUACCCAACACAGCAUUGCAAUAGCUCAUUCUGAUUGUAUAUUCAUUGUAUGUGUGUGUAAGUGUGGCUAUAACAUGACUAUAUACACAUAUAUGUAUGGUGUAUGUUUCUAUAACAUUGUGAUGACAAUAAUAUUACUAUAUGAUGAUGUAUUUAUGUAAAUAUUCUAUAAAAUAUAACUAUUGUUGGUAUAAAUUAUUUUAGAAUUAUAACGUGAGAUGUAACUGUAAUAUCACAGUAUAGCUUUCUUCCAAUUUUAUAUACACUGAGCAAUUGAAGCUAGUUCUAGGAGAUGCAAUAUUAUCUUUGGUAUUCCUAUUAACCUGUGCUGUUAGAAUAUUUAUGCUUCCUUCUUUCUUUUCCUCCUUCCUCUCCUUACUUCUCCUUUAUCUUUGAUGUCUUUCUGAGCCUUUCUGAGCACGCUCUCUGCUGCCUGAGGUUUGUUUACGUAGCCCGGACCAGAGGUGCUCACUACUACUGAACACACUCAUCACCUAUUCACACCUGUGCACACCCAGGCACACACACUUUUCCUGUCAAGAAGCACAUUUUCUAAAGUCUCACUGCUGGCAGGGAAUACUGUUAUUAAACAUAGAGUACUGUAUGUGUAUAGUAUGUGUAUACUCUGAUGUACGCACUGCUCCAUCUUCCAUAACACCCAUCAACACUCUGUCCCGCUCGCCUUAGGGACCAAAAGCACAGCUCACUCACAUUACUGUUCCAUCUUUCUGCAAACACACACAUUCACACACACCUUUCCCUCCACCCUCUUUUACUGUAGGGACAUGAUGCCACUGGUGGCAGGUACAGCUUUGUCAAAGGGCGUGUCUUAAAAAAUGGGAAGGACAUCUCACAAGUUACUGGCUAAAUAAUUAAAGGUAUAGCUCAGAAAAGGAGAUUCGAAUUUGAUUGGUGUGUCUGUCUGGGAAUGAGCAUUUGUCAUGGGUUGGUUAUGUCAGCUGUAGGAACUUGGGAGGAAGGAGUUUACCUUUGGUUUCUUUUGCCCGGUCACCGAAACCUAAAAAUCCAACAUGUCUGACCAGUCAACCACUGCAAUCUCUGGCCUCAUGCUUCAGUACAUUUAAGGAUUCUAAUAAGUUCCACAGAGUGAGAUUUACUCAUUAAACAUUAGGUAUAUCCCCAUAUAUACAAUCAGAACUCUGUAUUGGUAUUAAGAAAGAAAGGCUGGACUGGUGCAUGCCAAGUUCAAUCACAGUGGCUGAGACACCUGUCAAUCAAGCACACACACUGCAUUACCGUAGAUCUCUGUUAGGCAACAUCUUCUGAACAUUUUUACCAUGAGACACUUUAGACACCUGUAUUUUGAGUCAGAAGUUGGCUUUUUAAAAGUUUUGAAACCUCCUAACACUAGUCAGUGUUUCUGCUUUUUAAGACCAGUCUCAAUGUUGAUGAACUGUUCCUGAGAGAUUUGGGGAGUGAAGUUAGUUUGGUUAUCAUUUUUAGUCUUAAAAAUUCAUGAAUGUUGCUUUAUUGUGUUUGACUGUGUAGUCCUAGUAUUGUCUAAUGAACGCUGCUUCAGCACAUAUUGCAAGUUGUAUUUACGCAGCUAGUAGUUAGAGUGAGAGAUGAGGUGUUCCAUUAAACUCUAAAGUGCUUUACGCUUAAGUAUGUUGGGUCUAACUUUGGGCUGUAAUCAAUCAGAAAGCAGUCACAGGAUACACAAAGUACCUUUUCAGUGCUGUGUGGGACUUCUAAAAGCUAUUCAUCAGUUUUAUUUUAUUUUUAGCCUUUAAUAGAGACAAGGUGUCAGUCAGCAGAGACAAAAUCGACCAGAAUGUGCAUCAAAAGGCUAUGAUUCUCCUCACGCUCGCCUUGAUCUGGGCACCUGUUUGAUCUCCUGUGUUUGCUUCAGCUUUGAUAAAACUAAAAUGAUGUCUGAGAACGAGGCGAUAGACUUCCUAACACCUCAAAGCCCAUUGUUUUCAAGACUUUGAGUCAAAUUAAGGUUAUAUUUUGCAACACGACUGAGCUGAUAGUCAAGAGAAUUUUUCAGAUAUAAAGGAAAAUCUCUGUCAUUUACGUUUGGGCAGCUGGAUCCUUGACAUAAACACUUGGAUUUAUCCACACAGUGUGUCUGUUACAGCAAAAACCCACAUCCAUGGUUGCCACUGUUCUCCGCACGACAAAUUUGCUUAGCUAUUCCAAGCAUUUCCCCCCAAAUCACAGAGCACCUCUGGCCCUCUCAUCUCGUCUGAGAGGGGCACUGCUUUGCCGUUUUCAUCCUUGAAUGGAAUUCACGUUGAGGUGAAUAACUCAGAGCUUUACUGUGUGGAAACAGAGCUUCUCUAUCGGCUAAGAAUUUCUCCUGAUUUCCCCUCUGCCCUCUCGCUCUGCCACCGUCCUCUCUGUCCAGAUGGCCCACAUUAAUAAGGCAGAUAUUCAUACCUCAGUAAGCAACCUUUUCAUUUCCCCUGUGACUGAACAGACACGCUGGUGGAGUCACCCUGACUACUGACCUGUCCUCUUGGUCUGUUGGCUAGACAACCACGCUCAGAGUGAGAGCUCAGGGAAACACGGUCGGUGUUAAAUAAGGCAUCUGGUCCCUGUAGAGGUUGGGAGUUGUCCUCAGUGAGGCAGAGGCACCUAAUGUGUGUUUCUUGUUAGGCUUUACAGUGAUACGUUAGGACAAUAACUUUUUACCACUCCCCUGAAAACCCUUACUUGUUUGACUAACAUUUAUAGUUCUAAUUAACCAUGAUGUUUGUAGUAUGCACCGGAUUAUUGCAGGGAAAAAAUAAAGAAUUAUCUAAUGUUGUUGUUCUUUAGCAAACAUAUAUUUGGUGAUGAUGUAGAAGGGCAUGAGGUACGAAGAUAAGAAUUUCAAUAAUGCUGCUCCUUUCGCAGUUGAUAUGAAAACCGAUUUAUUUAGUUCAUGAAAAAUAUUCAAAUAGUUUAGAUCUGCCUUUGCAAUGCUGUGGCACCAUCAUGAAUAUGUGAUGCUUUUUCCCCUGCAGUGCUUUCAUGGAAACGCUGUUUGAAGAGUUAGAGAGUUGUGUCCAUUUGUGUUUUCUUCCCAUUGUUCCCAUAAAAGGUCUGAGAGAUCACUAUGAAACAGGAAAACAUGGCAGCCGUUGUAAACAAACCUCCCUCCAACUACACUUUGACAUACACAGCCUCUCUGUGGGCAUGUGCUAACUACACCUGUAAAUCUUAUAAGCACAAAACACACACUCACACAUUGUUCUCAGGGCCACCUGACACAGAGGUUUAUGCAAAUAGACACAGAAGUAAUCGUAUAUAUAAAUAACCCAAUGACCAUCACAGCUGAGCACAUUGAGACUGCGCGACAUUCCUUUCCUCAUGGUUUGUAUGUCAAACAUAAGAUUGUAUGUAGUGAGAAUUGUACAAGUGGUUAGGCCUUGUUUGUACUUUAGGAUUUGAGCCAUGUAUAGCUGAGAAAACACAUCGCCCCUAUUUGUUUUCUUGGUGCUUUAUAACAGGCUGUCUGUAGCACUGUAUAUAAUGGAUGUUACUUUUGUUUUUUGGAGAACCAGCAGUUAUCCGUGGACAACAUAAGCUUUGCUGACAGGAGAAAAAAGGGAGGAAAGAAAAGUUUUUUUGGCACCAAAUGCAGUAGCUUUGCGCGUUUAGAUGCUGCAAUAUGUUCAGUAGUUAAAGAGUGCUUUUGCUGCCAGUCGCCCGAUUUCCCUCAGGCUACUCUUCAUCCCGCUGCCAGGUCAAAGGUCAAAUAGGAUAGGAAACGAUGCAGAGUCGCUGGCUGUAAAUGGGUUCUGGAUUGUUCUGCGGGAUGGAAUUUAUCCAGACACCAAACACUCUGAAGCCUUUGUUUCAAAUAUCUGAUAAUCUUUGCUGUCUCAGAAGUUAGAAAGCAUACGGUAUGGGAUGCGGUACUCGCCAUCUAGACAGUUAAUAAAUACCAGGUAAAAGGAAAGAAGAAAAGUCUGAUAUCCUGUGUGGAAAUGAAGGAAACUUUUCUGCUCCCUCUUGCAUUAGCACAGAGACUCUAGGAGCUAAAUGUGUCUGAAAGCAGAGGAAGAAUAGCUGCAGAAAGGGCCAGAAAGUCCAUCAUCUGAACUCUGCAGGGCAGCAGAAAUAGAUCCGGGAUCACGUUUCAACUGCCGAGGCAAAGCAAACCAGACUAACUGCUGAACGCAUCCUUUUCUCCUGGUGUGUGUGCAUGUGUGUGUCGUGGGGACGGGAACACCUGUGAGUUUGUGUGUUCGUCUGGCUAGGACAUCAACUGGAGGAUGAUGUGAAGUUAUUUCACACCCAUACGCACGCACACAGACACACAUUAUUGCAGUCACAUUUAGCAUGUUGUUGCAUAUUUUCUGGUCAUGGUCUACUGAUAAGUCCAGUAUCCUCUUGAUAAACGAUCAAAGCAUUUUGGUUGGGAAUGUACACUGUCGUUAUAGUGAUUGUAGAGUAGAAUGUAUUUACUCAUAGAGAGAGUAAACUUGCUUUUUUGUAGAGAAGCAUAUAUACAGAAUAUAUAUGGAGACAUACAUAUAUAUACAUCUAUAUAUCUUUUGAUCUUGUGUGUGAGAGUUGUUUUGGGCGCAUCCACCCCUGUUGAGAUUCAUGUUUCUUUCAACUUUUAUUUAUUAUGUUCGGACAAAAGUAGCGUCUUACGGGUGAUGAGUGUUUAUUUUUUCCUGUAUAUAUAUGAUUUUUAAAUUUUAUUUUUGACAAAAAGGGGUUUAAAAAUAAAUUGUUUUACGAUGCUGCCUAUGAAGUGAUAUCUUGUCCACAGAAUCUGUUUGAUUCAUGAAUUUAUCAAAGUGAUUUUUGUGUGAAAUGUAACAAUGACAGGGUGGGAGUCUCACAGGUCGUGCUGAACAAAGGUCAAUGACAAUUAAUCAUUUGAACUUGCUGUAUUGAUUAGUAGCAACAUACACAGCAGUGAUGAUCUGUGGUUGUCACUGUUUUUGACAUAAUCUAUGCUUGACAAACUGAAAAUAAAUCUGAUAAAGUGCUGAAUCUCUAUAA